rnacentral:rRNA from 1 species
UACGUAGGGUGCAAGCGUUAAUCGGAAUUACUGGGCGUAAAGCGUGCGCAGGCGGUUUUGUAAGUCUGUCGUGAAAGCCCCGGGCUCAACCUGGGAAUUGCGAUGGAGACUGCAAGGCUUGAAUCUGGCAGAGGGGGGGUAGAAUUCCACGUGUAGCAGUGAAAUGCGUAGAGAUGUGGAGGAACACCGAUGGCGAAGGCAGCCCCCUGGGUCAAGAUUGACGCUCAUGCACGAAAAGCGUGGGGGAGCAAACAGGG